rnacentral:rRNA from 1 species
UACGUAGGGGGCAAGCGUUGUCCGGAAUCAUUGGGCGUAAAGAGCGCGUAGGCGGUCCGGUAAGUCCGCUGUGAAAGUCAAGGGCUCAACCCUUGAAUGCCGGUGGAUACUGUCGGGCUAGAGUCCGGAAGAGGCGAGUGGAAUUCCUGGUGUAGCGGUGAAAUGCGCAGAUAUCAAGGAGGAACACCAAUGGCGAAGGCGGGUUGCUGGGCUGACACGUGACGCUGAUGCGCCGAAAGCCAGGGGAGGCGAACGGG